AGAGCGAACGCUGGCGGCAGGCCUAAUACAUGCAAGUCGAACGGAUCCUUCGGGAUUAGUGGCGGACGGGUGAGUAACACGUGGGAACGUGCCCUUUGGUUCAGAACAACUCAGGGAAACUUGAGCUAAUACUGGAUAAGCCCUUCGGGGGAAAGAUUUAUCGCCACAGGGGGGGCUCGCGGCCUAUCAGCUAGUUGGGGGGUAAUGGCCCACCAAGGCGACGACGGGUAGCU
rnacentral:rRNA from 1 species